AGCCGCCGGAGUUGCUGGUGUGCCUGUUGUCUCUGGGUAACCUUGAUCAUAUUCAUUCUCCUCGUCCUGGUUGCCAUAGCUGGUGCCAUUAUCUACGUUAUCUACCGUCCCCAGCGGCCCACCUUCUCUGUCUCCGGCCUCAAAGUCUCCUCUCUCAACUUCACUUCAUCUUCCCAGCUCACCACCAACAUCAACUUUAACAUCACCGCAAGAAACCCAAACAAGAAGCUCGUCUACAUCUACAACCCUG
rnacentral:misc_RNA from 1 species